GAUGAACGCUGGCGGCGUGCCUAAUACAUGCAAGUCGAGCGAACGGACGAGAAGGUUGCUUCUCUGAUGUUAGCGGCGGACGGGUGGGUAACACGUGGAUAACCUACCUAUAAGACUGGGAUAACUUCGGGAAACCGGAGCUAAUACCGGAUAAUAUUUUUAACCGCAUGGUUCAAAAAUGAAAGACGGUCUUUCUGUCACUUAUAGAUGGAUCCGCGCUGCAUUAGCUAGUUGGUAAGGUAACGGCUUACCAAGGCAACGAUGCAUAGCCGACCUGAGAGGGUGAUCGGCCACACUGGAACUGAGACACGGUCCAGACUCCUACGGGAGGCAGCAGUAGGGAAUCUUCCGCAAUGGGCGAAAGCCUGACGGAGCAACGCCGCGUGAGUGAUGAAGGUCUUCGGAUCGUAAAACUCUGUUAUUAGGGAAGAACAUAUGUGUAAGUAACUGUGCACAUCUUGACGGUACCUAAUCAGAAAGCCACGGCUAACUACGUG
rnacentral:rRNA from 1 species